rnacentral:rRNA from 1 species
AACGAACGCUGGCGGCAUGCCUAACACAUGCAAGUCGAACGAGACCUUCGGGUCUAGUGGCGCACGGGUGCGUAACGCGUGGGAACCUGCCCUUAGGUUCGGAAUAACUCCCCGAAAGGGGUGCUAAUACCGGAUAAUGUCUUCGGACCAAAGAUUUAUCGCCUUUGGAUGGGCCCGCGUUGGAUUAGCUAGUUGGUAGGUUAAAAGCCUACCAAGGCGACGAUCCAUAGCUGGUCUGAGAGGAUGAUCAGCCACACUGGGACUGAGACACGGCCCAGACUCCUACGGGAGGCAGCAGUGGGGAAUAUUGGACACUGGGCGAAAGCCUGAUCCAGCAAUGCCGCGUGAGUGAUGAAGGCCUUAGGGUUGUAAAGCUCUUUUACCCGGGAUGAUAAUGACAGUACCGGGAGAAUAAGCUCCGGCUAACUCCGUG